GACGAACGCUGGCGGCGUGCUUAACACAUGCAAGUCGAACGGAAAGGCCCUGCUUUUGUGGGGUGCUCGAGUGGCGAACGGGUGAGUAACACGUGAGUAACCUGCCCUUGACUUUGGGAUAACUUCAGGAAACUGGGGCUACUAUCGGAUAGGAGCUCCUGCUCCAUGGUGGGGGUUGGAAAGUUUCGGCGGUUGGGGAUGGACUCGCGGCUUAUCAGCUUGUUGGUGGGGUAGUGGCUUACCCAGGCUUUGACGGGUAGCCGGCCUGAGAGGGUGACCGGCCACAUUGGGACUGAGAUACGGCCCAGACUGCUACGGGAGGCAGCAGUGGGGAAUAUUGCACAAUGGGCGGAAGCCUGAUGCAGCAACGCCGCGUGCGGGAUGACGGCCUUCGGGUUGUAAACCGCUUUCGCCUGUGACGAAGCGUGAGUGAUGGUAAUGGGUAAAGAAGCACCGGCUAACUACGUG
rnacentral:rRNA from 1 species